UCUGGAGACCUAGAGAAAGAUGCCUGGGCUAUUCGCUAUUUUGUGUCUGAAGGCUUCGAGCUCUUCUGUGCCCAGUCCUUCUCCAAGAACUUCGGGCUCUACAGUGAGUGCUUUCCAGAGUCGCAGCCCUGCCCCCCUGCCCCUCCACGCCGGGUCAGCGGCUGACCCCGUUUCUGUCUUCUCCUUAGAUGAGAGAGUGGGGAAUCUGACCGUGGUCGGAAAAGAGCAUGACAGCGUCCUGCGGGUCCUUUCCCAGAUGGAGAAGAU
rnacentral:lncRNA from 1 species